rnacentral:misc_RNA from 1 species
UUUCCGUAGGUGAACCUGCGGAAGGAUCAUUACCGAAUAACCGAGGCGCAAGGCCCGUCGCUGACCCCAAAGUUUGUGCACGCCCGAGUGCCCCCACACCCAUCCAACUCACCCCCCUGUGCACCACCGCGAGGGUCCCCCUUUCGCUUUUUCGGAGGGGGGCUUACCCUUCCACUCAAUCAAAGCAUUCAGCGUAGAAUCUAUUUUUUGUUGUUGCGAUCACGCACUCAACACAACUUUCAACAACAGAUCUCUUGGCCCUUGCAUUCAUGAAGAACC